rnacentral:lncRNA from 1 species
AUGCUUGGACUGACAAACAAAACCACAGGAACAGAAUUGGAUUUGGAGGCACAAAGCUAUGUUGGAGGCAAGGCACUGAGACAGUCCUCAACAGUCUUAACUGCUUGGCUGUUAAGACAUCACUUUAUUUCACAGAUUUCACAGAUGUGCACGGUAUGUAGGUCCACAUUAAGUCUUCCCUUCCCUUCCCUUCCCUUCCCUUCCCUUCCCUUCCCUUCCCUUCCUUCCCUUCCCUUCCCUUCCUUCCCUUCCUUCCUUCCCUUCCCUUCCCUUCCCCUUCCCUUCCCUCCCUUCCCUUCCCCUUCCCCUUCCCCUUCCCUUCCCUUUGUUCUCCUUCCUUCCCCUUCCCUUCCCCUCUCCCUUCCCCUUCCCCUUCCCUUCCCCUUCCCUUCCCCUUCCCCUUCCCCUUCCCCUUCCCCUUCCCCUUCCCCCCCUUCCCCUUCCCUUCCCCUUCCCCUUUCCCUUCCCCUUCCCCUUCCCUUCCCUUUCCUCCCUUCCCCUUCCCCUUCCCCUUCCCCCUCCCCUUCCCUCCCUUCUUCCCCUUCCCUUCCCCUUCCCCUUCCCUUUUUGCUUUUGUUUUUGGAGCAGAACAACACCAUGAGUGGAACGAAUUUACAAGG